GACGAACGCUGGCGGCAUGCCUAAUACAUGCAAGUUGAACGAUGAUAUUCUCUGCUUGCAGAGACUUGAAGAGUAGCGAACGGGUGAGUAACACGUGGGGAACCUGCCCAUGAGAGGGGGAUAACAUUCGGAAACGGAUGCUAAUACCGCAUAAUGCUUUGGACCGCCUGGUCCAGCGACGAAAGACGGCUUUUGCUGUCACUCAUGGUUGGCCCCCCGCCGUAUUUGCUAGUUGGGGAGGGAAUGGCUCACCAAAGCUGUGAUACGGAGCCGACCUGAGAGGGUGGUCGGACACCCUGGGACUGAGACACGGCCGAGACUCCUACGGGAGGCCGCAGUAGGGACUCUUCCACGAUGUGCGAGAGCGUGAUGGAGCAAUGCCGCGUGAAUGAAGAAGGUCCUCGGAUCGUAGAGUUCUGUUAUUAGUGAAGAACAAGUCAAGGAGUAACUGUCUUGACUUUGACGGUACCGAACCAGAAAGCCCCGGCUAACUACGUG
rnacentral:rRNA from 1 species